rnacentral:rRNA from 1 species
CUAAUACCGCAUAAGCACACAGCUUCGCAUGGAGCAGUGUGAAAAACUCCGGUGGUAUGAGAUGGACCCGCGUCUGAUUAGCUAGUUGGUAAGGUAACGGCUUACCAAGGCGACGAUCAGUAGCCGACCUGAGAGGGUGACCGGCCACAUUGGGACUGAGACACGGCCCAAACUCCUACGGGAGGCAGCAUG